rnacentral:rRNA from 1 species
CUACGGGCCGCUGCAGUGGGGAAUAUUGCACAAUGGAGGAAACUCUGAUGCAGCAACGCCGCGUGGAGGAUGACACUUUUCGGAGCGGAAACUCCUUUUAUAUAGGAAGAAGAUGACGGUACUAUAUGAAUAAGCGCCGGCUGACUCCGUGCCAGCAGCCGCGGUAAUACGGAGGGCGCAAGCGUUACUCGAAAUCACUGGGCGUAAAGAGCGUGUAGGCGGAUUAAAAAGUCAGAAGUGAAAUCCUAUAGCUUAACUAUAGAACUGCUUCUGAAACUCUUAAUCUAGAAUAUGGGAGAGGUAGAUGGAAUUUCUGGUGUAGGGGUAAAAUCCGUAGAGAUCAGAAGGAAUACCGAUUGCGAAGGCGAUCUACUAGAACAUUAUUGACGCUGAGACGCGAAAGCGUGGGGAGCAAACAGGAUUAGAUACCCCGGUAGUC